rnacentral:lncRNA from 1 species
CGUCGCGACGCAGAGAGAGAGAGAGAGAAAGCAACACAAAUUUUUACUUCUCCCUGCUCCUUCUCUCUCUUUCUUUCUCACUCACAACCGGGGUACGAACGAAGACUUCACUUUGGUCUUCAACCUCCCCAAAGUCCUUCCCAACCGAAAUUCAAAGCCCCCUUCCAGGCUUCCCCUCUCAAUUAGGGUUAGGGUUUCCCAAACUCCGCCAAGCUGGAUAGGUACAGAGUAGACCGCUAUGGCCACAACAACAACGACGACGCCCCUGACUACCGUCGUCCCUCUCUCUUCUCCGACGCCCCCGUCAACCCUCAGCCCCACCUCCCUCGCCGCAGCCCCCCUAACUACCGCGGCGCCGGCGCCGCCCGUGGCUUCGACAGUCCGCCUCUUCACUCUCCCGCAGGAGG